UGGGAGUAAAUGGGAGGAAAUUAAAAUCAAGAAAAUGAGUGAAAAAAUGAUAAACUGAAACCAGUUCGACUUUUUUACUCUUCAUAGUUAAAAAAAAACGGUUUUACCUUUUUCAAACAAUAAUUAGUAUCUAAUCUAUUAAUUUAGGAUUUUAUUUAAAAUUGCAUUGGUAUAUCUUUCUUUUUGGAUUUAUUGUACAUUUCAUCAUUUUAUAAUAUACACGCGCAUCUUAUACAAUAAUUCAUGAUGACCAGUAUACUUAAAUUUAAUCGAUAUGUUGAUACAUGUUAUUCUGAUCACCCGGUUAAGUUUCACUUUCAAAAUAACCAUGAACAUUAUUUAUUUAGUGAAGAUAUAUAAUAAUUUAUGAUGACCGAUAUAUAGGACCAUUUAAUUAUUAAUAUAACAAAUUAGAUUUAUAUUAGCUAUCAACCAUUUAUAUCGAUGCUAUUAAGCCCGCACACACGGGAUUAAUCAAUUCUAACAAAACAUGCAUGAACCAACUAUUUCUAACAUCUAUUAUAUUUCGAUUUCUUUAACAAAAUAUAUAUACAACUCUAUUAUAAACCAUUCAUAAUUCUCCAGCUAAUCUUCUCACAUUGAAUCAACAUACACAAACCGUGCCAUCGAAUCAUCUGUAAACAAAGUUAUACUAUCAAUAACUCAAACUAAUAUUAACCAUUCGUAAAGUAUACCUUAAUCAAAGCUAAAUAUAUCAUAACCAUUAGAAACCAAACAUUUUCAAGAAAGCAUUUGGUCUACGCAUAAACGGUUUAUACAAUCAACCGUAAACCAUUCUGCUACCAUCAUAACCUAUCACUAGAUUUUGAUUCGCGAUUCGAAAACGCGGAUUUUAUGGGUUAUAUACGAAGUUAGAUAUGAAAUAGUAUUUUGAGUAUAUUGUGUAUUAUUAUGUUAUAAAAUUGUAUUAUAUCAAAUACAAAAUUUUGUUUAAAUUUAUAUAACUUAUGAAUAAGUUUAUCUGAGAUUUUUUAUAUACACUCUUAUGUAACUCUUUCUUAAGUAUGAAAAUUUUACCCAAAUUUGAUAAACGAACCAAACCAAUACGAAAUACAGGUUGAGGUUCGGGAUUGAGAAAAAGUACCUAUUAGAUUUUUUUGGACAUGCGGGUCUCUGUUGGACUCCGAAUAUCCAAAGUACCCAGAAUGUUUUGUUCAUAUUAUGUAUAUUUGAGUAAUUAAUAUAUGUUCUCAGUAUAAAAAUAUUAUUGUAAAUUUUGGAUUCGCGUUUUCUGCUAUAGUUUCAGGUUUUGGAUAAAAUUUCAAAUUUUAAAAAUAUAUUUAAAAUAUUGGAUAUUUUUGGUUCUCGGGUAAGAUUUUGGUCUUUUAGAUAUUUAGUUAUUUCUGGUAUUUAUUUGAUUUUGGGUAUUUUUGUAUGUUGAUUUUUCAGAUUCUUUACAUCUUUUUGUCCUAAAUACUCGAACCGAGCUAGACUCAUUAUGUAGCCAAAUUACAUAGUAAAUUUUAUAGAUACUUGAAUUAUUGACUCAAACUGACCUGGAACUAAAAAGAACUGAUAUGAACAAAAAAAUAAAAUACCUAGUUGGAUAUAAAUGCCCAAAUCCUAAACAACUUGUACCUCAAAGAAACCAAUUUAUAUUUGACCCGAAGACCCAAAUGCCCAAAUCUAACCUUUCAUUAUAUUUUUAUGCAUUUUAUAAAAGUUACAUUUGUUCAGUUGGUGAAACUUAAGAUUUAUUUGAGAGAUUUUUGGCUAAUCUAAUAGUAUAGAUUUGUAGGUUUGUUGUUGAGCACUAAAAAAAAGAUUUGUUGCGUUUUUGAUAAUUUUAAACUUAUCUUAAAUACUAUUUAUCAAUAAAAUAAAAUUAACAUAAUAUAAUUUUUAAACUUAUCUUAAUUAUGAAGUUAAUGAGACAUAUUUAGAGAAGAAUAUAAUAAAGUGUAUGUGAUAUUAUAUUUUCGUGAAUCAAAUUUAUGUGGUCGUAUAUAUAUGGUAUAAUCUUUAUAUUUCUAAAAAAAUAUGGGUCCAAUAAAUAAAAUCUUUGACUAAAUAAUUUUUAGAGAAAUUUAAAGUAAUAUAUUGUUUGUCCAAAUCAAAAAACGAUCAAAAUAUUAUUAGUUAAUAAAAUAGUCCAAACAAGUUUUUUAAGUAGAUUUAUUAAAACUCCUUCUCUUUUAAUAGUAUUGAUUCUGAGUGUACACAAACCGGUUUUAUAUUCAUCCGUAAUUUUUUUUUCAAAAUCUUAACAAGAGUAGGUAAACAAAUAUUUACUGACAUUCCGCAAAAUAAGCUAACUUACAUUAAUACAAAAAUUGUAGUGUUUUUUUCGUUGUUAAACAUAGAUUUUGUGAAAAUAUUAACUAUAUAAAAUAUCCCUUUUUAAUAAAAUAAAAUAAAAAAUUUAUAUAUUAUUCUGAAUAUAUCCUUGCAAAUAAUAUCGUAAGGAUACCUUUUAGAAACUAUUAAUAAUCGUUGUAACUGAAUUAUCUCUUAAUAACUACUUCUCUAUUUAAAAUAUUACCAAACAAUUAUUUACAUACUGUCAAAAAUCAUAAUUAGAUAAUAUGUCUUAUUUGAUAUUUGAUUUUACAUACUGAUUCUUCGGAUCCUGAUAUUCAAAAUGCUCGACCGCAUGUUACAUACAUAAUCCUUAUUUAGACUACAAAUAUAUAAUAUUUCAAAUGAUAUUGGUAAAUUCUGAUUUGGUAUAUAACUUUGAGAUAUAACAAUUCUCUGAACAUAUUUAAAAUGUAAAGAUAUUCAACAACACAAAAAAAAUCAGAAAAUGUAAUAAAAAUAUAGCUACCUAGAUGAGAAUCAAGAUCAAAAAUUUCAUUUCCCUUUCCAGACGCACACGUUCGAAUUGAACCUGAGAUUUUAUCUGGUUCAUAACAUUAUUUUUUGAACCAAACCAAAAUAACAAAACUCAAAACAAAAACCAAAUGCAUAAAUAACCCAACUAUCACUACAUUUUUGAAGCGAAAACCAAAACUCAAAAACCGAACAAAACCAAAAAUAUAAAAUCUCGACGUGAACCAAAAUUUAUAAAUUAUCAUCAAAUCAUAAACUAUACAUAUAAAUAAUCACAUGCAACUCCGCAGGUCAGAAUCUAGUAAGAAAAUUAAAUUGGUUUGAUUGGCACGACAAAAAUUAAAAUGACAGUAAAUACUUUUUCCAGUGUUUAGGAAUCGCUAGGCGCUAACUAGGCAUCUUAUAGAGGAUUAGUGACUAAAAUAUUAUAUGAGGCUUAGGCGUUAACAAAUUAUUGAUUUAUUAUAUAUAUAAAAGAUAUUUUAGUUUUUAUAUCUAAUUCUAAAAUUAUUUUGAUAAAUUAUCAAAAUUAAAUAUACAAAACAAAAGAAAUUAGAAAAAAUUAUGGAUUUGUACUACUAUUUUUACCUAAUUUAACAGUCUUAGGCUGAUUUAGAUCGAUUUAAACCGGUUUAAAAUAGUUUAAACCAAUUUAAAUUGUAUAAAUCAAAUUAAAAAAAAUAUUUUCGGGUAUGACCAAUUUGCCGCCUAAGCAGGGGCCUAGACCAAUUUUUAGAACAAUGAUUUUUUUCCAUUCAAAAUAUAUCGCUAAUUGUGAUAUCCAAUCACAUUCAAUAUUUGUUUUUGUAUGAUUUGUGUGAUCACAUGCAUGUAUAAAGAAAUACUUUAGAAUGCCAUAACGGAACUACCCAAUUUUCACAAACUUUAGGGUUAUAAAGUGCUUCUAAUUUUCUAUAGCUGAUGAAGAGUCUUGAAAUCAUGUGAUAUAGUUUCAAAGCUUUUUGAAAAUCUUAUAAAUGAUAAAGUUUGUAAUAUUUUAACUCUUUUCAGAUUUUAAUGGUAUUUUAUAAACUAAAACAUAAAACAUUCUGUUUUUGGAAGAAUAAUUUAAUUUUAAAACGGAAAUAUAGUAUUUUAAUCUUAUUUAUUUAGAGUUGGAUUGCUGGACGUUAAAAUCAAAGAAAUACCAUUAGUCGACAAAAAAAAAGCAAAUCAUAUAUUAUCAUAGUAUUUGCUUUCUUUAUCUUUUUCGAGGUGUGUUGAUUGUUUGUUUGCUUUAAAUUUGUAUUUAGUGCUUAUUACUAAAUAUUUUUAGUUUAAAUUUUUUGUUUAUGCUAAUAGUUGAUUUAUUAGUAUAUAACUAUACAUACAUAAACGGAGAUAAAGAUCCUACGAUCAGAUUUCAAGAUUGCUCUUAUUCCUCGAAGACAGAAUGAAAUAUUUGAUUUCUUAGCUAGAACUGCAAGAUUUUUUCAUAGAGAUCUCAUUUAUUAGUUGUUAUAUUCCGGCUUAGUUAUUCAUACCACCUCAUGUUUUAGUAAUAGAAUAACCAUAUGACGAAAAAAAAAUGGAGUUAGACUAACGCCAAGAUUUAGCAUUUGAAAAAAUCAAACUCCACCAAAAUUAUAAUCUUUCUAUUAUGAUUUCGAAUAAAUAAAUAUAGAUAAUCAUUACAGAAACAAUUUUAUAAAAUAUUCUAAAUAUAUCUUACAUAUGUAUUAGACUCUUUAAAUAUUAAAAUAUGAAAACGUAUGGCUUAAAAUGAGUUGAUCGGAAAGAAAACACAACACCAGACCUAAUAAGUAAGAGUGCUAUAGAUUUUUGAAUCUGAACUUGUGUGUUUAUUAGUUGUCAUAUUCCGCUUAGGUUUCUCAGACCGUCUCAAACUCAGUUAAUAAAAUAACAUUCUAAUAACAAAAAUGAAAUAAACAGAAAUGAUAAGGUUAUUACUUAAUUUGAUUUUUCAUUUGACUUUAUAAUACAGAAAAAUUCACCAUGCAGAGAGAAAAUCCCAAUACUAAAGUCCCAAACUGAAAUCAUUACUAAGAACAAAUUCUUUAAAACAGGAUCAACUGAUCAUUGCAUUUGCAGUUAAGGCAACGUAGCGUUUUCUGCAUAACCAUAGUAUACAUAAGACACCUUCGACAUCCUACCAACACCAGCACCGACGGUUCCUCAUCAAUCCACGACGAUGCAACUUCCUCCUUCUUUUCCUCCGUGGUCGACAAGCACGAGUAAAACGAUGAUGAUGAGUGGGUCGGUGAAGAUCCUCGUUUAAACCUCUGAUCAGCAACUACAGAUUCCGCCGUUUUGGCCGGUGACUCGUCUCUAACUCUUUUACCAUUCUUGUUUAACAUCUUAGAAACUUCGGGCUGGUCGAGAGGGAUUCUGUAUUAUCUUUCUUCUUUGUCUUGUUUUAGGUGAGGGGUUUAAUGGUACUGAUGGCUUAAACAAAUGUAUAUAUAUGUAUAUAUAAGGACGCAAAGGAGCUAUUUAUGAUAAAUAAUUAAUUUUGUUGAAUAAAGUAAUUGUAUGUUGUGGACAGAGAACAUGAGAUUCUUUAUCUAGUAAUUGACUUAUUAAUUGGAAGUGGGAAAAUAGUAAAGUACAGUAGAGACAAAUAUAUGAAACAAAGGUAAAUCAGUAAACAUUGCAUUAGUGCAUUUAAACAAGCCCAGCAAACUAUCUAUUGCUUAGAUGUUGAGGGAAGAGAGAAAUGUUGCAACUAAAUAUGAACAAAUGAAUUUGACUAGUAAACAAAUAAUUUUUGUUUUAUAAUGUAUUUUUUCACCUUUUUUUUUCAUUUCUAGUGCAACAUUUUAAUUGAUGUUCAAAUUUUAUCAACUUUACUUAAGUUUAUUGGUUAAAAAUAAGCAUAUAUAUUAUACGGUAAUAAUCGGCACAACAUAAAAUCUAAUAAAUUUCUGUAUGUGUCAAAAUUUAAAACAGCGGUUAUAGAAAAUAAAAGAGUUGUUACGAUGAUUAUUAUAAAAUAACGUGACUAAAGUAGUUUAAAGUUAUUUUAGAAAUAGUCUUUUUAUAGAUACGAUUUAUUCAAAAAUGACUGAAAAAUAUUUUUUACAAGCGACAAAAAAUUAAAAAAUUUGCAUACAGUAAUAGAUAAUAUUAAAUAAUAAUAACCAUAAUUAUAAUAAUAAAGCAGACACAACAAAACUUUAAAAUAUCUUGCAUAAAUAUUUUAAAUUUAGAAAAGUAAAUAAAUUAAAAUAAAAGUUAAUGAUACGCUGAAACGUCUAUUUCAAACGACGGUUUCAACUAAAAGCUACAAAUGUGUGUCUAUCAAAUAUCCAUUUGGCUGUUUCGUAAAUAACAAUUAAACUCAAUUACUUUUAAUUACUUUCCAUAUUCACAAAAGUUGUGCUUUUUGUGUUUAGUUUUGAUAAUUUAUAACAAACUAGAGGUUAACCCGCCCUACGGACGGAUGAGUAAAAAAACGAAUAAUCUAUAAAUAAUAUAAAUUUGAAAUAGUAUUUAUAACUAUAAAUAUAAUUUGUAAUAUUAAAUUUUACUAUUUGUUUUGUUUUCUUAAAUAUUAUAUAUAUAUAUAUAUAUAUAUAUAUAUUUCACCUUUAAAAAUUCAUUCAUGAAAUAGUAAUUGUUUUACAUAUUUUCAAUAUAUUUUUCAUCUUAGUUCUGAUAGUAAGUAUAUUUUUUUUUUAGGAAAUUGUGAUUUGUGAGUUAAGUUCACAAAAUAUAAUGCUGGUGCCACUCAGAUUGAUUAAAGUUUUUGAGCUUGUGUUAUAAUCUGGAAGAGACUUACGCGGAUUGGAGAAGGGGUAAGAUAACCAUGUUGUUUUAUGGUAUAUAUAUGGAGAUGGCCGGUUCAUCUCUGGUUUUCUGAACCCUUAAAAAACUUAAUAUGAAUAUAAAAAGACAAUGCAGGGUUUUUAUCAAUCAACGAAAAAGAAUAAUACUACGUCGAUCACUCUUCUUUUUCAUUAUUUUUGUCCCCUUCUAAACCACAUAUCAGUUUCUCUUCUUCAAUAGAGUUUGAGUUUAGAGUCCAUGACGGUAAUGUGUCUUCAAAAUCUACAAAGGUAAUUUUUUUGUGGAUAUUUUCCAAUAUUUUAUUCAGGUUGUUGGAUCAUAAUUCUCAACCUGAUGUUUUAGUACAUAUGGGGAUGACAAGGUUCCAUCUCCAUAAGGCUACGUUUUUUAAACUAUUGUUUGAUAAUUUCGAUCAUUGACAUUAAAUUAUUAUUUUUUCUGUAAUUUUCGAAUUGCAUACCAUGGAAGAAGAUAUAACACAUUUAAUGUGAAUAUGAAGAAAGGUUUGAUAUUUUGUAUGUGAUGUUAAUUAUCUUCCGCAUAAUCUUUGUCAAGAAGGCCGGGUAUUUAAAACGCUACAUAACGGAUGUCAAUUAAUAAACUCUCACACUGCCGUUAAACAUAAUAACAGAAAUGCUACGGUGCUCACAACUCAAUUAACGCCGUUCAAUGUCGUUUUGCUGAGAGUCAGUGUCGACCUUCUUCUGAUGACGGGAGCUGGAGGAACGGCAUCAGAGAUAGCCUGAGGAAUUUAAGGGAGUUUUAUCUCGUAGGAGUCGUCUUCGUAAACGUUGACUACAACAUCAUCGUUCUCCACCCAUGCCCCAUCUUUCGUACGACUUUUUUAGUCGGAAGAUACAUCGACCGAAGCUUUGAAGCCGUGCACCGGCGGUUCCUUCGCCACAAUUAGGUCUAUGGAAUCGUUUAAGCUUAUGUGAAGGUAAAGGGAAAAUGGCUUGCGUGCCCCUACAUCUCAUGGAGGAAUCUUCUAUGCCCUCAUGAAAUCUCCUAUGCCCCUAAUUCAUUAAUGAAAUGGUGAUUGACAAAAAUACCUUUUUAUUUAAAAAAAAAUAGAAAAAACAUAAAUUGAAGUUUUGGUUUGGUUGGAUUGGUAUUUGGGUUUGGUUAAAAAUCAGUUUUGAUUUAUCAAAUUAAAAAAAAAUUGAUAAAAGCUAGCCAAAAAACGGAUCGAACUUCCCCUUCCCCGCCCCCUGCAGUUCCCACCCCCAGUUCCCAGCCCCUCCCAGUUCCGCUCACCUCCACUCCGCUCUCCCGCACUCAGCUCCUCUCUCAUGCAGCUUCUCCAUCGUAACCUGACAUCUAGCAAGGAGUCUAGAAAUCCGUAAGUUGUGGUCUCCGUAUUGAACAUUCUUGCAAUUGAAUCUAAUUAAGAGUAUGCACAACGGGCUUGUCUUGUUUGGGAGCCGAUUCAUAAAGGAAAUUGGUAUAUAAUGCAUUUCAAUGGUGGAAUGAGAGUGUAAUAGGCAGUAGAAUGGAAUUCCCAGUAAAAUUGGACCUAGAUCGAUCUUGGGCAGUUGAAAUUCAAUUUGUUCUUGAUUAUAAUUGUAGUAUAACUGUAUAACUCGGAACAACGGGUAGAACUUUGGAUAACUGGAAAACUAGGAACAGCUGAUAGAACCGUGGAUAACUGGAAAAACUAUGUACAACUGGUAUAACUUUGGAUAACUGUAGUCAGUUUCUUGUGUUUGUUCCUUUUUUGGCAGGAUACAAUGAGCAAUCACGUCAGUGAUAUACAUGGUAGUCAGGAAGAGAGCUACGAGAUGAUGUAUAAUUGUUUCUUCAAACACAAUGGACCGACACCAAGAAGAAACAUAAACAAAACUAAGAAUAACCCAGAAAUCAAAUCAAAGAAAAAUAUCAACUCUUCCAAAGCAAUAAGACAUCAAUUCAUAUUAUUUGGGAGUUUUUAAUAUUCUUCUUAACUGGAACCUCCAAAACAUCAGAAUCGUUGUCUGCAAGAAUUAUAAACCGAUAAAAAUUAAAUAAUUAUAAUCUUGACUCCAUAAACAAAUCAAUAACUAAAACUCACCAUUAACAAAAAGAAAAUUCGAUGGCUGAACGCGAUGGUAAUCAAAAAGUUGCUUGAAAGCCCGACCUUCAAGUCAGAAAGGAGGAGAGAGGAGGUCGCCAUUCUGCUCAAAGAAAGUUGUAAGGGAUUUACGAUUGUGAGGAAUGAAAAGAUGAAGUGUACGGUUUCAAAACUCAUCUAUUUAGCAGAUUCACCGACUGGAAGAAAAGAGAUGCAAUGAAUGAGAAAUUAAGGAGUGGGGAAAAAGGAAUUAAGAAGGUUGUUAAUGAUGACGAUUGAACAGUCCGUAACGGUUCAGGUUUCCCAUUUCCGGUGUGAAGAACUCCAGCGGAAUCGACACGUACGACGGAUUAGACCAGAUAACGCCAUUAUUAUCUGCUCCCAUAACCCAGUGAAAACGUCACGGUCGGUUUUAAGAAUAGGUAGUUGCAGAACGUGAAGAACCCUAUAAAUGGUUGAAGAUGAAGACUGAGACUGCUACUAUUAGGCUGGGUUAAUAAUGUCUGCUAAUAGCCCAUUUAAAGAAACAUGGAAAGUCCAAAACAAAUGAUCAAGCCCAUUUUAGUUAUAAAACCUAUAUCGACACUUUCGAAAAGAAAAUAUGUGACACGUGGCAUGCUCUGAACAACCUAUUUAUCUGUUAUAACACACGGAAAAUAGGCCUUAUUUAAAUUACAUUGGCCCACAAAUGAGAGUCAAGAUAGAAUCAAAACAAACAACUAUCCUAAAGCAACAAACACAUAACUAAUACAACAAAAAAAUAGAUCAACUGAACCCAUAAUACAUAAAAAAACUUGCAUGUACAUCAAACAAGCUCCUUUGAUAGAACCAAAUCGAAGAAGCUAUCACAAAGAUAGUAUUGAGAAGAAUAACCAUCCACAGCUACCUAUACAUGCUUAAUCAUCCAGCAAGCUAUCUCCACUGUCACCCAUCCACAGAAACGUAUCCAUUCGACCGUUGGAGACAUGCAAAUGACUUUGGAAGUUGUGACUUCUCUCUUUAUUCAAGAAGCUUGCAUGUUGUCUGUAUUUAUUAUUAUGUCCAGAUCUAGAUUAGGUUAAAUAUGUUUUAUAACCAAAAUUUACAAGUUAAGGAAUUAAGUUUCUC